GAUGAACGCUAGCGGCAGGCCUAAUACAUGCAAGUCGAGCGGCAAGUCGAGGAGUAAUCUAAGACCUAGAGCGGCGCACGGGUGCGUAACGCGUAUGCAACCUACCUCAUACAGGGGGAUAGCCCGGAGAAAUCUGGAUUAAUACCCCAUGGUACUGUGGCAAGGCAUUUUGUUACAGUUAAAGAUUCAUCGGUAUGAGAUGGGCAUGCGUCUGAUUAGCUAGUUGGCGGUGUAACGGACCACCAAGGCGACGAUCAGUAGGGGUUCUGAGAGGAAGGUCCCCCACACUGGCACUGAGAUACGGGCCAGACUCCUACGGGAGGCAGCAGUAGGGAAUAUUGGGCAAUGGACGAGAGUCUGACCCAGCCAUGCCGCGUGCAGGAAGACGGCGUUCUGCGUUGUAAACUGCUUUUAUCUGGGAAGAAAAGGCCCAUGCGUGGGACAUUGCCGGUACCAGAUGAAUAAGCACCGGCUAACUCCGUGCCAGCAGCCGCGGUAAUACGGAGGGUGCAAGCGUUGUCCGGAUUUAUUGGGUUUAAAGGGUGCGUAGGCGGCUAUUUAAGUCAGUGGUGAAAGACUCCGGCUCAACCGGAGCAGUGCCAUUGAUACUGGAUAGCUUGAGUGUUGGAGGGGUACAUGGAAUUGAUGGUGUAGCGGUGAAAUGCAUAGAUACCAUCAGGAACACCGAUAGCGAAGGCAUUGUACUGGCCAUCAACUGACGCUGAGGCACGAAAGCAUGGGGAGCGAACAGGAUUAGAUACCCUGGUAGUCCAUGCCGUAAACGAUGAUUACUCGCUGUUAUGUUGCAUAAUGUAGCGGCCAAGCGAAAGCGUUAAGUAAUCCACCUGGGGAGUACGCCGGCAACGGUGAAACUCAAAGGAAUUGACGGGGGUCCGCACAAGCGGUGGAGCAUGUGGUUUAAUUCGAUGAUACGCGAGGAACCUUACCUGGGCUAGAAUGUGAAGGAAUGAUUUAGAGAUAGAUCAGUCAGCAAUGACCUGAAACAAGGUGCUGCAUGGCUGUCGUCAACUCGUGCCGUGAGGUGUUGGGUUAAGUCCCGCAACGAGCGCAACCCCUAUGUUUAGUUGCCAGCAUGUAAUGAUGGGGACUCUAGACAGACUGCCUGCGCAAGCAGAGAGGAAGGAGGGGACGACGUCAAGUCAUCAUGGUCCUUACGCCCAGGGCGACACACGUGCUACAAUGGCGCAUACAGCGGGUCGCUACCUAGCAAUAGGAUGCCAACCUCUAAAAGUGCGUCUCAGUUCGGAUUGGGGUCUGCAACUCGACCCCAUGAAGCUGGAAUCGCUAGUAAUCGCGCAUCAGCCAUGGCGCGGUGAAUACGUUCCCGGACCUU
rnacentral:rRNA from 1 species